UACGUAGGGUGCGAGCGUUGUCCGGAAUUAUUGGGCGUAAAGAGCUCGUAGGCGGUGUGUCACGUCGGCCGUGAAAACCUGCAGCUUAACUGUGGGCGUGCGGUCGAUACGGGCAUCACUGGAGUUCGGCAGGGGAGACUGGAAUUCCUGGUGUAGCGGUGAAAUGCGCAGAUAUCAGGAGGAACACCGGUGGCGAAGGCAGGUCUCUGGGCCGAUACUGACGCUGAGGAGCGAAAGCGUGGGGAGCAAACAGG
rnacentral:rRNA from 1 species